GACGAACGCUGGCGGCGUGCUUAACACAUGCAAGUCGAACGGAAAGGCCCUGCUUGCAGGGUACUCGAGUGGCGAACGGGUGCGUAACACGUGGGUGAUCUGCCCUGCACUUCGGGAUAAGCCUGGGAAACUGGGUCUAAUACCGGAUAGGAGCCAUUUUUAGUGUGAUGGUUGGACAGUUUUUUCGGUGUAGGAUGAGCUGGCGGCCUAUAAGCUUGUUGGGGGGGUAAUGGCCUACCAAGGCGGCGACGGGUAGGCGGACUGAGAGGGUGGACGGCCGCACUGGGACUGAGGUACGGCCCAGACGCCGACUGGAGGAAGCAGUGGGGAAGAUUGAACAAGGGGCGCAAGCCUGAUGAAGAGGCGCCGCGUGGGGGAUGACGGCCUUCGGGUUGAAAACUCCUUUCGCUAGGGACGAAGCUUUUUGUGACGGUACCUAGAUAAGAAGCACCGGCUAACUACGUG
rnacentral:rRNA from 1 species